AUAAAUAAAAAAUAAUAAUAACACAUAUAUUAUAUAUUAUUAAAUUAUAUAUAUAUAUAUAUAAAUAAAUUUAUAAUAAAAAUCUACUCAAUUUUAAAAUUUUGUAUUUUAAAAGAAAUAAAAAUUAUUAAAAAGUAAAAUUUUAUAUUUGUACCUUGUGUAUAAUGGCUUAGUAAGUUAAAAUUAAAAAUAAUUUAACCCGAAUUUAUUCCGAGCUAAUUAUUUUUUGUUUAGAACUCAUUUUAUUAUGUAUCAAAAUAAUAAAAAAAAAAAAAAUUAGUAGCUACAUACUUUUCGCGGAUAACUAUAGCUGGUUUUUUAUUAAUUCCAUCUAAGUGGACUAAAUUAAUUAUUAUUAUAAAAAAUAAAGGUUAAGCUUUAUUUUAAAUACUAUGUAAUAAUUAAAUUUUAAUUUUUGUAAUAUUAAAAGUUUAUAUCUAAUUUUAUUGUUUUAUACCUAAAAUUCUUUUCUCUUUUUAAUUUAAAUUUAUAUAUGUAAUAAAUAAUAAAAAAUUUUUAUUAAUUUUCUUUAAAAUAUACUCUUCUAAGAUAAGUAUUUAAAUUUAAUUAUUAUAAUAAUAUAAUAUAAAUUAUAUUAAUCAUAAACUAACUAUUUUAAAAUAAGGAACUCGGCAAACUAAAAUUUCGACUGUUUAUCAAAAACAUAGCUUUUUGAAUAAUUAAUAAAAAGUAUUUUCUGCCCUAUGAAUUUAAUUUAAAUGGCCGCAGUAUCUUAACUGUGCAAAGGUAGCAUAAUCAUUUGCCUUUUAAUUAAAGGCUUGUAUGAAUGAAUUUACGAAAAUUUAACUGUCUCAUUUUAACAUAUAAAACUUAAUCUUAAAGUGAAAAAGCUUUAAUUAAUUUAAAGGACAAGAAGACCCUAUUGAGCUUUAUUCUAAAUUAUUUAAAAACAAUAUAUUUAAAUAAAAUUACAAAUAAUUAAAAUUUAGUUGGGGCGACUAAAGAAAAAUAAUAUCUUCUUUUUACUAUUAGGAAAAUAAUCCUUUUUUAAGAUCUAAUAUAUUAAUUAAUAAAAAAAGCUACCAUAGGGAUAACAGUCUAAUCUUUCUUUAAAGUUCAAAUUAACAGAAAGGAUUGGCACCUCGAUGUUGGCUUAAGAUUCCUUUAUUAUGUAGCAGUAAUAAUAGUAGGUUUGUUCAACCUUUAAAAUCUUACAUGAGCUGAGUUCAGACCGGCGUAAGCCAGGUUAGUUUAUAUCCUUAAAUAAAAUCUAUAGUUGUUAGUACGAAAGGACCACAAUUAUUAAAAAUUUUAAAUUUAUAAGAAAUCAUAUAAUUUUAUUUAAUUUA
rnacentral:rRNA from 1 species